rnacentral:rRNA from 1 species
UACGUAGGGCGCAAGCGUUGUCCGGAAUUAUUGGGCGUAAAGAGCUCGUAGGCGGCUUGUCACGUCGGGUGUGAAAGACCGGGGCUUAACCCCGGUUCUGCAUUCGAUACGGGCUGGCUAGAGUGUGGUAGGGGAGAUCGGAAUUCCUGGUGUAGCGGUGAAAUGCGCAGAUAUCAGGAGGAACACCGGUGGCGAAGGCGGUUCUCUGGGAAUGUCCUGACGCUGAGGAGCGAAAGUGUGGGGAGCGAACAGG